rnacentral:rRNA from 1 species
GUAGGGAAUAUUGGACAAUGGGCGGAAGCCUGAUCCAGCCAUGCCGCGUGGAGGAUGACUGCCCUCUGGGUUGUAAACUCCUUUUGUACAGGAAGAAACCUCCUCAUUUAUGAGUGAGCUGACGGUACUGUAAGAAUAAGCACCGGCUAACUCCGUGCCAGCAGCCGCGGUAAUACGGAGGGUGCAAGCGUUAUCCGGAUUCACUGGGUUUAAAGGGUGCGUAGGCGGUUUUAUAAGUCAGUGGUGAAAUCAACGGGCUCAACCUGUUAACUGCCAUUGAUACUGUAGGACUUGAAUAUGAGAGAGGUAGGCGGAAUGUUGCAUGUAGCGGUGAAAUGCUUAGAUAUGCUACGGAACACCGAUUGCGAAGGCAGCUUGCUGAACCAUUAUUGACGCUGAGGCACGAAAGCGUGGGGAGCGAACAGGAUUAGAAACCCGAGUAGUCC